CCCACCUCCCAAACGACACCUUCAUUCAGAUUUCAAUUUCCUGUCUUUUAUCCUUCCCUUCCCCAAUAAUAAUUUCAAAAACCGCUCUCAUUAAAAUCCUCUCCCAUUAAUUAAUUAAUUCCUCUUUCUAGAUUAUCCUGUGUUCCAAAAUUGCUAUACAGUAAUGGGAUUUUGGUUUAUGAAAAAGAUGAAGAAAAGAGGAGUGAUGGGCUUUUCAAUUGCGAAUAAUGAAGAAUUUGGUAUCUAUUCUGCCAUUGAAGAAGAAGAAUAAAAUGGUAUAUGAAUAUUUUGAAUCUACAACAACGACAGUAGCCUGACGAAGAAAGGAUGGGCGACGAAUCGGAUCUUGACAAAGUUCGUUCUCUCACAAAUCGAAUUGAGAUUGCAAAGAUGCGGAGUAUUUUCAUUAAGAACAGUAUAAUGGAAAGCACUUCAUCAAAGUAAUCAAUCCCAUUGUUAUUCAUGGACUUUUAUAGUUGUAUGGCUGGGUUUUGUUGUUGAAUCAGGCAAGUUCUAUAUGAAAUUAAUAAUCGUCUUUUUCAAUUGCUUUUUUGCCAAAUUUUGUUGAAGUAAUGAAAAGGUUGUUGUUGAAAUCAAUUAUAAAAUGGACAUCUGACAUAGAAAUAAGAAAUGUUAAUGUCGGCCUCUUUUGGUCAUUCCGUGGGUGUAACCACGACGGCUCUUAUCUUAGAUGACGUUGGGUACAAACGAAUCAGUAUAUGUUCUGGGUAUUAUUAGUUUACCGAUUAUUGGUUUAAUUAAUUUGUUGCCAUUUAUUUUUUUUCAAAUGAAAAAUAAUAAUUGAUUGUAGGUGAAGAGAAAUAGCGACGUUUCAAUGUGUAAAAUAUUUGGGUUAAAUUGUUUAAAUAACUGAAAAGGGUAACUGAUAACUGUUCAUCCAAAUGUUCUCAAAAUAAUUGCCUAUAUAAGGAUUUAUGCACUCAACUUAAUACACAUUAUGUCAUUAGAAAUCUGAAAAUUUUAGUUACUCCAUUGUUCACCGUUAACGAUAAGUAACUCAAUCGUAUGUGCUUCAUGUCUCAUUUGUAAUCGGUUUUCUGAAUUUCAAGUAAUUUUCUCAAAAUUCUCGAACUUUAUCCUUGAUAGGAGAAUUUUGUACAUAUCCACUGGGUUUAUUUCUUAAUUUGUUCAUAAUGUAUUUUAAUAUUUUCUGUAAACUUUAAUUUGUUGUCCAGACAAUUUCAACAAGUGUGAUUUUGAUAUCCCAUAAAUUGUUUUCAUCUCAAACUUAAAUGAUAGCCAUGGUCUUUUAUUGGAAAUAUAAAUAUAAAUAAUUUAUCAAAUUUGGUUGUAAUUUUUGAAACUUCUUGCGUUCUCUUCUAUGAUUGUUUCAGGUAAAUGACUUAUAUUGGCAAGGAGAAAAACAUAAGGUUGGAAUGAACAUUUUAAUGAAGAUAAACGAUGGAAGGGACAAGAUGAAUGUCAAUAUAUAUAUGGAAUAACGAAUAUUCCGUACAAAUCGCUCCCUCUUACUCUCCAGUUUGAAGGGUAUUUGUUUAGUACUCCAUAUCAAUGACGGGCAAAAUAUUAAGGAUUUAGUGGUCUUUGUUUAGUACUUCGCAUAAUUGCGGUCAAAAUUUAACAGUUAGUGAUUUUUGUUUAGUACUCCAUAGAAAUGUGGUGAAAAUACGAAGGGUUAAUUUUGUAUACACUUAUUAAAUUUGGUUCAUGUUAAGAUUGGUCUUGCUCUUUUAGUUUAACACUCAAGUUCCAACACAUAUCAAGUAGUGUAUCAUUGUAUUUUAUGUACUUAUUAGUGAGAGUAAUAAAUCAUUUCUUCU